ensembl:lncRNA
AUUUAUUUUCAUCAGAACACAUUUUAUUUGUAGUUAUCAUACUUUUCGAAAAGGUCAUGACUAGUGAGAUCGUUUUAUAAAUCAUUUCAUCAAAGUCAGUUGUAAAAAAAUUAAAGAAGUUACUUGAACUAAAGCAUCUAUAAUAUUACAAUAUACCGGUAGUAUAAUAGUAAUCAUAAUAAUCAUAAUCGCAAUGAUACUUCUAUAUGCCUUUAAACCUUGUUUUUAUAAUCAUAAAUCUUCCUCUUCCACACACACACACACACACACACACACACACACACACAGGCGUGCGCACACACACACGCACGCACACACAGUCCCACAACCCUCCUCAAUUAGGUUGCAAAGCUGGGCCCCCCCCAUUGUCCUCGUAACAUCAAUGGUUUCAGACGCACUACGAGACACAGAAAGAAGAAGGAAACAUGAACUGAAGAUACACGAGAGAACCUGGAAGCAGAGACCACCGCUGGAACAAUGGGGAACUGAUCCACAACUCAAACAGGAAAUGGGCUUCUGCAUAGAUCCACGGGGGGGGGGGGCAGAACCACGGGGAGGGCGGGUGGAGGAGGAGGUGGAGGAGGUGGAGGAGAACCUGCUUGUUCCACACCGGCUCCCCAGCGAGAGGCUUCACCCGUCGCUCACACAGGAGGGGAGAGGAGGCGGGACACAGGAAGUCCGGUUCUGCAGGGCUCUGCGAGACGUCACCCGGCAGGCUACCGGUCGGACGCCAGGUCUGACCCCUGACGCCGUCUCCUCCCUCAGCGGGAGAAGGAGAGGAGGGGGAGGGAGGAGGGAGCAGGCUGGGGGGGAGGAGGAAGGAGGGAGGAGGGAGCAGGCUGGGGGGGAGGAGGAAGGAGGAGGGAGCAGGCUGGAGAGGAGGAGGAGGAGGAGGAGGGAGCAGGCUGGAGAGGAGGAGGAAGGAGGAGGGAGCAGGCUGGAGAGGAGGAGGAAGGAGGAGGGAGCAGGCUGGGGGGAGCGUCAGGGAGCAGUGAAGGCUGUGGAGGCCCGCUGCCGGGCCGGUCAGCCUCACAUGGACCAGCGAGCCCCAGCGCUGGUCUGGGACGCAGCGCCGGGGCCAAGAGCCACGUUGGAGCGACACUGGAUGGGGGGGACACCAGCAUGCUGAACCUACUCUGCCCGUGGUGGGCACACUGCGCUGCAUGCAGUACAGGUGUGUGUGUUCACUGAGUGGGGGGGGGGGACAAGAGACCUCCAAUCCCUUACUGGGAUGGAGAGCUGGCCUGACGGUCCGGCUCUUGAUGGUCUGGUCUACUCCCAACAGUCGGGUUAUAUGUCUCAUCCAGACUGGUUCAAACCAGCUGGUAUUUAGGACACAGGUUGGGUAAGGGUUCAUAAACGUAUUGCGGACAAGCACGCUCUCCAUGUGCACACAAAAAUAUUGCAAUGAUUGCUUUUUAAAGUUAAAAAAUACAGUUUAGUUUUUAUAGUUCUGUUUGUCCUGAUUGUGGUUCUAUACUAGUCUCUCUCUCUCUCUCUCUCUCUCUCUCUCUCUCUCUCUCUCUCUCUCUCUCUCUCUCUCUCUCUCUCUCUCUCUCUCUCUCUCAU